rnacentral:rRNA from 1 species
AAGGGUUUGAACCUGGCCCUGCUCGAACGCGUGCAGGCGGUCUAACACAUGCAAGUGAUGGGGUUUUGGUUUGGAUUUUAACCAAAACCAAAACCCCACGCGCCCGGGUGCGUAAUGACCGGUUAUUCUUGCUUUUUCAAGGAUUAUUCCUUUUAAAGGUGUGUUGUCAAAGCUUUUCCCAGGCCUCAAAGAGAAGCCCUUUGAAAGCUUUUGGUUUUGAAAAAACUAAGGGUCCUCAAAGAAGCACGCCUGAAAGAUAGAGUUCGAGAAAGCAAAAAACCGGUUUGGAUUAGGUAGUUGGGCAAGGUGGCAGCUUCCCAAGCCCUGGAUCCAUAGCCUCCCUUAACGGGGGAUGGCCACAACGGAACUGAAACAAGGUCCGUACAUUUUUUGGCAGCAGUGAAGAAUCUUUGACAAUGGGCGCAAGCCUGAUCAAGCUAGCCUGUGAAAAGGACUUUUAUGAACCGAAAAAGUCAACAACAGAAGGCCUUUGGCUGUAAACGUGCGCUGAAGUAGUUUUAUCGAGAAAUAUCUCCACGGUUUUCCCCGACUAACUCUGUGCCAGCAGUCGCGGUAAGACAGAGGGGGAUAGUGUUGAGCAUCUGGACUAGGCCUAAAGCGCGGGUAGGUGGUUCAGGAACCUUUCUUAAACUCCCUCGACGGGUCGAGGCUCUUGAGAAAGACUCUUGAACUCGAGUUUAUGCUAAGGGUAGGAGAACAGCUCAAGGAGCGGUAGAAUGUAAGCAUAUGGGCGUGAAUGCCAACGGCGAAGGCACCUACCUUUCUAAGACUGACGCCGAGCCGCGGAAGCGUGGUGCACCAAAUGGGAUUAGAGACCCCUGUAGUCCACGCCGUCAACGAUGAGUGUGAAAUUUGGUUGUGGGUUCUCUUUUAUAGCGAGGUCCAUCUUUGAUGGACGAGGGCCGCGACCGCGGCCCCUCGUGUCGUCUUCGACGAACCAGUUAUGACAGAUUGCUCUACAACCAAGUUUGAGCCAAUUGCGGAAACACUUCGCCUGGGGAGUAAGGUCGCAAGACUGAAACUCAAAGGUAUAAGCUGCCGGGUAGACCGGCGGUGGAACAUAGCGGUAGAAUCGAAACACCGCGAAAAACCUCACCACUCCUUGAAUGCAAAAAUAACCACUUAUUGUGAG